rnacentral:rRNA from 1 species
UACGGAGGGUGCAAACGUUGCUCGGAAUCAUUGGGCGUAAAGCGCACGUAGGCGGCUUAUCAAGUCGGGUGUGAAAGCCCUAGGCUCAACCUAGGAAGUGCAUUCGAAACUGACAAGCUUGAAUAUGGGAGAGGGUUGCGGAAUUCCCGGUGUAGAGGUGAAAUUCGUAGAUAUUCGCAAGAACACCAGUGGCGAAGGCGGCUCACUGGCCCGGUACUGACGCUGAGGUGCGAAAGCGUGGGGAGCAAACAGG